rnacentral:rRNA from 1 species
AGUGAACGCUGGCGGUAGGCCUAACACAUGCAAGUCGAACGGCAGCACAGUAAGAGCUUGCUCUUACGGGUGGCGAGUGACGGACGGGUGAGGAAUACAUCGGAAUCUACUUUUUCGUGGGGGAUAACGUAGGGAAACUUACGCUAAUACCGCAUACGACCUACGGGUGAAAGCAGGGGAUCUUCGGACCUUGCGCGAUUGAAUGAGCCGAUGUCGGAUUAGCUAGUUGGCGGGGUAAAGGCCCACCAAGGCGACGAUCCGUAGCUGGUCUGAGAGGAUGAUCAGCCACACUGGAACUGAGACACGGUCCAGACUCCUACGGGAGGCAGCAGUGGGGAAUAUUGGACAAUGGGCGCAGGCCUGAUCCAGCCAUACCGCGUGGGUGAAGAAGGCCUUCGGGUUGUAAAGCCCUUUUGUUGGGAAAGAAAAGCAGCAGGUUAAUACCCCGCUGUUCUGACGGUACCCAAAGAAUAAGCACCGGCUAACUUCGUG